rnacentral:rRNA from 1 species
ACAACGGAGAGUUUGAUCCUGGCUCAGGAUGAACGCUGGCGGCGUGCUUAACACAUGCAAGUCGAACGAACCUUCGGGUUAGUGGCGGACGGGUGAGUAACGCGUGAGAAUCUGCCCUCAGGAGGGGGAUAACGGUUGGAAACGACCGCUAAUACCCCAUAUGCCGAUAGGUGAAAUGAAUUUCGCCUGAGGAUGAGCUCGCGUCUGAUUAGCUUGUUGGUGAGGUAAUGGCUCACCAAGGCUUCGAUCAGUAGCUGGUCUGAGAGGAUGAUCAGCCACACUGGGACUGAGACACGGCCCAGACUCCUACGGGAGGCAGCAGUGGGGAAUUUUCCGCAAUGGGCGAAAGCCUGACGGAGCAACGCCGCGUGAGGGACGAAGGCCUCUGGGCUGUAAACCUCUUUUCUCAAGGAAGAAGAUAUGACGGUACUUGAGGAAUAAGCCACGGCUAAUUCCGUGCCAGCAGCCGCGGUAAUACGGGAGUGGCAAGCGUUAUCCGGAAUUAUUGGGCGUAAAGCGUCCGCAGGCGGCCUUUCAAGUCUGCUGUUAAAGCGUGGAGCUUAACUCCAUUAUGGCAGUGGAAACUGAUCGGCUUGAGUAUGGUAGGGGCAGAGGGAAUUCCCGGUGUAGCGGUGAAAUGCGUAGAUAUCGGGAAGAACACCAGUGGCGAAGGCGCUCUGCUGGGCCAUUACUGACGCUCAUGGACGAAAGCCAGGGGAGCGAAAGGGAUUAGAUACCCCUGUAGUCCUGGCCGUAAACGAUGAACACUAGGUGUCGGGGGAAUCGACCCCUUCGGUGUCGUAGCUAACGCGUUAAGUGUUCCGCCUGGGGAGUACGCACGCAAGUGUGAAACUCAAAGGAAUUGACGGGGGCCCGCACAAGCGGUGGAGUAUGUGGUUUAAUUCGAUGCAACGCGAAGAACCUUACCAGGGUUUGACAUCCUGAGAACCUCUUAGAAAUUAGAGGGUGCCUUCGGGAAUUCAGUGACAGGUGGUGCAUGGCUGUCGUCAGCUCGUGUCGUGAGAUGUUGGGUUAAGUCCCGCAACGAGCGCAACCCACGUUUUUAGUUGCCAGCAUUUAGUUGGGCACUCUAGAAAGACCGCCGGUGAUAAACCGGAGGAAGGUGUGGAUGACGUCAAGUCAUCAUGCCCCUUACACCCUGGGCUACACACGUACUACAAUGCUACGGACAAAGGGCAGCAAACUCGCGAGAGCUAGCAAAUCCCAUAAACCGUGGCUCAGUUCAGAUCGUAGGCUGCAACUCGCCUACGUGAAGUAGGAAUCGCUAGUAAUCGCAGGUCAGCAUACUGCGGUGAAUACGUUCCCGGGCCUUGUACACACCGCCCGUCACACCAUGGAAGUUGGCCAUGCCCGAAGUCGUUACUCCAACCCUUGUGGAGGAGGACGCCGAAGGUGGGGCUAAUGACUGGGGUGAAGUCGUAACAAGGUAGCCGUACCGGAAGGUGCGGCUGGAUCACCUCCUAA